GACAGAGGGUGCAAACGUUGUUCGGAAUUACUGGGCGUAAAGCGUGUGUAGGCGGUGAGGUAAGUCGGAUGUGAAAGCCCAGGGCUCAACCCUGGAAGUGCACUCGAUACUGCUUCGCUUGAGUACUGGAGAGGUUGGUGGAAUUCUCGGUGUAGAGGUGAAAUUCGUAGAUAUCGAGAGGAACAUCUGUGGCGAAGGCGGCCAACUGGACAGAUACUGACGCUGAGACACGAAAGUGCGGGGAGCAAACAGG
rnacentral:rRNA from 1 species